AUUGAACGCUGGCGGCAGGCCUAACACAUGCAAGUCGAACGGUAGCACAGAGAGCUUGCUCUCGGGUGACGAGUGGCGGACGGGUGAGUAAUGUCUGGGAAACUGCCCGAUGGAGGGGGAUAACUACUGGAAACGGUAGCUAAUACCGCAUAAUGUCGCAAGACCAAAGAGGGGGACCUUCGGGCCUCUUGCCAUCGGAUGUGCCCAGAUGGGAUUAGCUUGUAGGUGAGGUAACGGCUCACCUAGGCGACGAUCCCUAGCUGGUCUGAGAGGAUGACCAGCCACACUGGAACUGAGACACGGUCCAGACUCCUACGGGAGGCAGCAGUGGGGAAUAUUGCACAAUGGGCGCAAGCCUGAUGCAGCCAUGCCGCGUGUAUGAAGAAGGCCUUCGGGUUGUAAAGUACUUUCAGCGGGGAGGAAGGGAGUGAGGUUAAUAACCUUAUUCAUUGACGUUACCCGCAGAAGAAGCACCGGCUAACUCCGUGCCAGCAGCCGCGGUAAUACGGAGGGUGNCAGCGUUAAUCGGAAUUACUGGGGCGUAAGCGCACGCAGGCGGUCUGUCAGUCGGAUGUGAAAUCCCCGGGCUCAACCUGGGAACUGCAUUCGAAACUGGCAGGCUGGAGUCUUGUAGAGGGGGGUAGAAUUCCAGGUGUAGCGGUGAAAUGCGUAGAGAUCUGGAGGAAUACCGGUGGCGAAGGCGGCCCCCUGGACAAAGACUGACGCUCAGGUGCGAAAGCGUGGGGAGCAAACAGGAUUAGAUACCCUGGUAGUCCACGCUGUAAACGAUGUCGACUUGGAGGUUGUUCCCUUGAGGAGUGGCUUCCGGAGCUAACGCGUUAAGUCGACCGCCUGGGGAGUACGGCCGCAAGGUUAAAACUCAAAUGAAUUGACGGGGGCCCGCACAAGCGGUGGAGCAUGUGGUUUAAUUCGAUGCAACGCGAAGAACCUUACCUACUCUUGACAUCCAGAGAACUUAGCAGAGAUGCUUUGGUGCCUUCGGGAACUCUGAGACAGGUGCUGCAUGGCUGUCGUCAGCUCGUGUUGUGAAAUGUUGGGUUAAGUCCCGCAACGAGCGCAACCCUUAUCCUUUGUUGCCAGCGGUCCGGCCGGGAACUCAAAGGAGACUGCCAGUGAUAAACUGGAGGAAGGUGGGGAUGACGUCAAGUCAUCAUGGCCCUUACGAGUAGGGCUACACACGUGCUACAAUGGCAUAUACAAAGAGAAGCGACCUCGCGAGAGCAAGCGGACCUCAUAAAGUAUGUCGUAGUCCGGAUUGGAGUCUGCAACUCGACUCCAUGAAGUCGGAAUCGCUAGUAAUCGUGGAUCAGAAUGCCACGGUGAAUACGUUCCCGGGCCU
rnacentral:rRNA from 1 species